UUCCGACAGUCUGUAAAAUGCUCCUGGAGCUGGUCGGACUCUCUGUUCUGUGUCUCUGUCUGUCUACUAACCUCGUCUGCACGUAAGAAAUGGCCAAGGCAACCGAGGUGGAGCUUAUGGUAGCACCGGAGGAGGUCUCAUCUCUGAACGGGGAUCUGAGAACAAUUUGAGUUGAGGGAGGCAUGCAGUACCCUGUUCCUGCCUGUGGAGUAAAGGUUUACAAAACCUAUCUAGGCAUGUUGAGACACUGGGCGGACAGUCAUGCCGUGUCUGUGGUGAAGUUCCAUUGCCCAAGGUGUACAAUUUUUCCAUAUCCGGGGAAACUAGGUGCUUAGACACUUCAGGAAGCGACACUAGCUUCCAGUGGCAGAAGCUAAAAGGCUGGUGGCCACAGUUACAUCAUGUAGGAUGGCAAAUCAAAAGUGUAUUCCCCCUUAUGGAAUAAAGGUUCCCCUUCGGAGGACACCGUCUACCAAUUUCACUGAGGAAUUUAAGGAUGAGGAACUGCUGGAGCUCUUCAGUAAUGGGUACCACCUAAACAUGUGAAAGGGACAUUUGUUUUGUGUUCUGCUAUGUUGAAGGCCCCUUAUAACUGUUGACUGUUAAUUGUUACAUUUGUUGGAUGUUUGAACUGUUAUAUUGUUAAUGGUUAACUGUUACAUUUAUUAUCUAAUAUUUACAUUCUGUGUGACAGUUUCCCAUUACUCCUGUGUUAAACCAGAUGGUAUUGAUCACCGUAUAAAUGAAGACCAGAUUACAUGACGUCACUUCCGUCGGCGUCAAAAAAAUGUUUGGCAAUGCGUUGCGGGUGAAUCAAACCAGAUUUGUAACAGCGUGUAUGUAUUAUUGCGAAUACUGUCAAAUCAACAGGAAAUAAAACAUUUUUUAUUUUCA